rnacentral:rRNA from 1 species
CCCGGUGACUAUAUUGUUAAACGGCCGCGGUACCCUAACCGUGCAAAGGUAGCAUAAUCAUUUGCCUUUUAAUUGGAGGCUGGUAUGAAUGGUUUGACGAGAGCUGUGCUGUCUCUUCUAAAAUAUUUAGAAAUUAACUUUUAGGUGAAGAGGCCUAAAUUUAUUUAAGGGACAAGAAGACCCUGUUGAGCUUUAGUGAUGUUGUAAAUGGUGAAAAGUAAAAUGUUACUAAUUUGUUAUGUAUUUAUUAUAAUAAAAAUUUACAAAUAAUCUUUAGUUGGGGCGACUGAGGAACAUAAAAAGCUUCCUUAUAUAUAAAAUUAUUUAAAUUAUUAAGUAGGUGUUAAUGCUUAUGUGUUAUUUUGAUCCAAGUUAUUUUGAUUAAAGGAAAAAGUUACCACAGGGAUAACAGCGUAAUCUUUCUGGAGAGAUCUUAUCGAAAGAAGGGUUUGCGACCUCGAUGUUGGACUAAGAUAUCCUAAGGGUGCAGAAGCUCUUAAAGGUUGGUCUGUUCGACCAUUAAAAUCUU